UACGGCCAGGGCGGCUACGGCGGCGGCUAUGACGGCUACGGAUACGGGGGCUACGGUUACGACGGCUACGGGGGCUAUGGCGGAUACGAUUACGCCAGCUAUCCCAAUUACGCGGGCUACCAGGGCGGCAAGCAGCGCGGCGGCGGCGGCGGCGGCCGCGCCAACCAGAGGCACCAGCCCUACUAACGUACCUGUCCGAUAGUCAUCUCAGUCCAAUAGUAAGGUUAAGUCAUCGGUCAUGAGUGGCCCCGUCGCCUCUCGUUCGCCGCGCCGGGGGCACGUCAUUCCAUUCCACAAUAUUAAUUUAAGGAAUUAAUCUGUUUAAGAAAAUGUUUUAAGGAUAAAAAUAUUGUCGACGGAGGGGGCCGCGCUCGGGUUCUGCUUCCUAAAUUUAUUAUAAUAUAGAAUGCAUAAAUAGAAUCAUUCGAGUAUUAUUGCAAAUAUUGACUAGAUACAAUUCGACCUUAACAGAUAAUAUUUUAGUAAUUCAGAGCUUAAACCCGCGUACGGGGAUAAUCGCUGGUCGGUGUGGCGUGGCGUGGCGUGGCGCGGCGCGGCGAGUGAGCGCCGAGUGUUUGGUGUGCGAGUGACUGUGUGCAAGUGGCUGCGUGCGAGUGACUGCGUGCGAGUGGCGAGCGAGUGGACCAUGAUCGCGACCGCCGGCAGCGACUGGCGCCAAUAGUGUUCUGGAUCUCAAGCAAAAUGUUGUAGUUUUGUAUUAUUUGGAUAAUUAACAAACAAAUCUGAAUCAUGUAUUUUGUACGAAGUAAGUGUUUCUUCCAUGAGUAGGGAUGAAAUUGAACUCUAGAAUUAAGUUGUCAGACAUGAACAAACUGCUGAUGAUAUACAAAUUGUAUGUCGCAAUAAAAUAUGUAAAUAAA
rnacentral:lncRNA from 1 species